rnacentral:rRNA from 1 species
GGACGAAGGCUUUGGAUCGCGAAUAGGAUUGGAUACCCUAGUAGUCAAAGCAGACAAUGAUGAGUGUCAUAGAUUAGAUAUAUAAGUUUAUUCUAUAAAUGAAAGUGUAAGCACUCCACCUCAAGAGUAAUUUGGCAACAUUGGAACUGAAAUCAUUAGACCGUUUCUGAAACCAGUAGUGAAGUAUGUUGUUUAAUUUGAUGAUCCGCAAAACACCUUACCACAACUUGAAUAAAAAUCCUCCUAAAGAAUAUUUUACAAGCGUUGCACGGCUGUCUACAGUUAAUGUCGUGAGACUUUGGUUAGAUCCAUUAAAUUAACGCAAGCCCUUACUUUAUUUCCAAAUAAAGUAGUUCCCCACUAUAUUGGAUAUGAUAACAGGGACUAAGACAAGUCAUCAUGGCCUGAAUGUUGUGGG